CUUCAGCCCCUGGGGCACCUCCAGGGACUACUUGCCUCGUGCGUCAGCGAGUGGCAGAGCGUCACAUAUACGCCCCCCUCCGUUUUGCCCUACUCCACUCCUCCCCUUUUUCCUCCCUCUCCACCUCCCUCCCUCCCCAUCUCUUCCCACUCCUCCCUCGCUCUCCCCUAGCGUGCUCCACGCGAGCAGAGAGACCCGCCGGACCCACAGGGUUCCAGAGCACUGAAGAGCUAAAAAUAUAACGGGUGUGUUAGCAACAGCCUUCCGAUUGGUCGGGGAGCAGGGAGAGGCGGUAUCUGAUUGGGUUUCCUUUCCAACAGCUUGGAUUAAGAAUGCGGGCCAAGAACCGAGGCGCUCGACCCAAGGGGACAGUGUGCGUUUGCGCGGUGAGGCAUUGCAAAGGAUGCUGGUAUUUGAAGUUAUUCAUUAGAGGCAACCUUGGAAAUAGAUCCACUGCUCCAGCUGGGCAGGAACAAAGACAACCACAACAAAACUGACUUUGGAGAAGUGAUUGGAUGCAGGACAAAAUGAUUUGCUAUUUAUUCACCACCAAUACGAGAGAGAGACCGAGCGUGAGCAGGGGAGGAGCAGAGAGAGAGGGAGACACAGAAUCUGAAGCAGGCUCCAGGCUCCGAGCCAUCAGCCCAGAGCCGGACGCGGGGCUCGAACUCACGAACUGGGAGAUCAUGACCUGAGCCGAAGUCGGACGCUUAGCUGACUGAGCCACCCAGGCGCCCCUAUCCAAAAUAUUUUUAACUUCUAUUACACAUUAAAACUAAAGUGACUAUAGAAUCAAUACACAUUCUAAUCUGAAAAUGAUCUAGUCUCUACAAUGUUGACACACCAUAAUCCCCCCCAAUUAUGCUUCAGAACUGCUCAGAGAGCUCCCCAAACACACUGCCCAUUCAGACUGUUUCGCCAAUACAGAUGUACAUAUCCACGGACCCCACCCCCUUUGCCUGUUAAGUUCCAACAUAUCCUUCAAA